CUUAAUUAGUCGCAUGGGGUCAAAGCAUUUUCGGAUUCAAAAAUGAAGCACUUGGCGCGGCCCGAUUUCCUCCGCGCCCCCAGUAGCUUCAUAAAACACGUCUUAGUUAGUAUUUUGAUAGCGACUAAUUCACGGGAGUGGAAGGAUGCGUCGCUGCGCUCUUGAGUGGUGACCCCAUGCGAGUAAUUACGUAACUUUUUUGGAAGAGAGUUAGUAGAGAUAGGAAAAAAUAGCAAAUUGUGCAAUGGUUGGAAGAUGUUUCUGAUGAAGAAGAAGUUGGAGGGUCGAGUUCUGAGCCAGAGUUAGAUGAAAUAACAAAAAGUGAUCAUGAUAGCGCUAAUGAGAUCGAGCAAUCCUCCGCACAAUCAAGUGAAUCGAAAAUGCAAGAAAUGUACAAGAUUUGUGUGCAAUGAUCACUCUGAAAUAUACUGUCAACAGUGUAACAAGAAUGAUUCCGAGAGUUCCUAAAAAAUACUAAUAUUACCUAUGAUCUCAGUAUACCUAAGUACAAAUUGUUAAUUAUUGACAAUUAUUUUAAUUUAGCUUGUUUUUGUAUAAUUAGUGAGAAAUUCAUGUUAUUACCUAUAGACAUUAAAUAAUAAAUAAAGCAUUUUUAUAAUAAUAUAGUUCAUUUACUUAUAAAAUUUCAGUAUGUAUUAAAAACUACUCAUACAAUUUGGGGUCAUCUGUGACCCCAUGCGAGCAGUUAUGUAAGAUUCUUUAUGCGCGUAAUUAAGGGUUAAA